UGAUUGGUGGGUUGCAGAGCCCGCCCCGCCGCACGGCCGGGGAGCCCUUCGGUGUGCUCGAUUUGUGUUUCUUUGGACUAACAAAAGUGUGUUUUCCUCGGAAUUUCUGCCACCAAAUCGCCCGGUUUCCCCGGUGAGGGGGGAGAAGAGCAGUAUAGUUUUAACGCAGAGAUAAACCUACUUUACUGAUGUAGAAUUGCUGCUUUAAACACAUACUCCUUUUUAUGUGAAAGAAAUACAUGUGCAGGAACAAUAUUUUGUUGCCUAGACUAGCACAGAAGGCCAGCACUGAGCAGCUGGGAGCAGGGAUCAGCAGACAUCCAGAUGUACAGAGGUGGUAAGUAAAGAGAAACCUGCUGGGGUUCGGGUUUGCUCAAACUGCAAAGAGACAUGUACCAGGAAACUUGGUAGCUGAAAUUAUUCAAAGCUGUUGAGAAAGGGGCCUGGUCAACAGUAAGGUGAACAUUUGAGCAGUUCUAAUGUUAAAUGUCCAAUUCUAAGGCAUGGUCUUUUUUAAUAAAAAAUUCACUAGGAUUAAAAAAAAAAUGAAGAAAGAAAGAAAAUGAAUAGAACCAAAAUGUAAAUGGAGAAAAAGUUGCAAUCUGUUCUUGUUUCAACAGUUCUUUAGAAGAAAACAGGCCUUGGCAUGCUUGGGUAUGUAGAAGAGCUUUCAAGGGUUAUCACUGUCAGCCACAUCAGUAGAUUUUUUAUUUAACACUAAUGAAAAAAGACAGGUUCCUAAUAUUCAAUUCUGUCUGGGUUUAGAUUUUUAUUAUUUUCAUUUUACCACGUGUUCUUAUUGUCCCUACGGGGUGAAUUGUCUUAGCUUUAGUUCGUGUUUUGUUUGGGUCUUUCAGGUUUGUUUUUGCUUUUUUUUUACCUUCCCCUAGGUAGGAGGGUCAUCUAGUUUUGAUCCUUUCAAACUUGAGGGACACACAAGCUCUGUUGAGCUAGUGUUGGGAACACAAAAGCUCUAAGUCUGGGAGAGGUCAGAAGAAUACACAGUGUAGUAGUAGAACUUGUUUCUUAAGUUAGUGGUAUCAGCAGGGAUCCAGAGUGGGGAGGAAUUAAUGGGCGUUAUGAGCAGGACAGCCUUGAGAUUCUGCUCUCUUUUAAUAAUUGCAUGCUGGAGACAUAAUUAUAACACUUGAGUAAUUAGCAGGAAACUGUUUUCUGGACCAAUAUCCCAACUGUGAUAGAUGCUAGUAAAUAAAGGAGGUAAAAGCAAUAGUUGAUAAUCUCAUCAAAGUGGUCCUUUAGAUUUUAGUGCUUUGUGGGCUGGAGACUCGUGGAGUCUGAGGGGAUGUCUUAGGGAAGGGAUUAAAUAGGGAGCCACAAAUGGAUUUUUCUUCUUUGUGUGUAGCAGUUGCUUUCUCUAGACAAAACAUUUUUCAUGUUUUUGGAUGUGCUUUAGCAUUAGAAAUCAAAAGGUUGAGGAACAGGUGGGUGGGAGCGAUAGAUGGACAAAUGAGUGAUGGCACGUGUACUGCAUGGACUAUCAUAGUGGAGAUACCCAUUAAUACGUGGUUAGCUGUCCUCAGGGUGCACCUGUGCUAUAAAAUGCUGCUGGAAAACAUGCAUGAGAGGGAACAAAAUGCCCACCAGCAAAGAGAGUGAACUGAAUACCUUUCUCUGUGGCUGUAGAGAUGAAGAUAAUACAUGUGAAACAGAGGGAAUUGCAAAUCAUAUCAAAGAGGAGAUAAAAAGGAAUCAUAGGUGUUCAGGCACAGACUGAGACAUUAUUAUAUAAAAUAUCUGAACUGAAAUAUGCUGUGAAACAAUUACUUCACUAUUAUAUUUUUAUACCCCUACACUUUUUCAGGCUAACCCUGCUGGAGUCACUGUGACUGAAGCAGAAAAGAAGUGCCAGAGUCAAUGAGAAAAAGGGUUGCCAGACUUCACACAGCUCUUUACAAGCCCUUCACCUUCAAGGACUUUCCUCUGUCUCUGUAUGAGUAAUGAUGUGUGUAUUUGGCCAUGAUGAACACAGGCAUUCUCCAUAUUGGAAUUAUGUUGGUUUCGUAGACCCAGUGAGUCCUGAACUACAAAAGGAGGACUGCGGGCAUGGCCAACAGAAAUGAGGCACGGAUUGAAGUCAUAAGGACUGAUUUCAGAGUCAUGAAGUUAUACACAAAUUCCAUAGACAAAUGUCAUCACUUCCAACAUACCCUUGUGAAAGGAAAACAUAUUACAUGAGAGAAAGAGUAUGCACUCAGAAUUGAGCCAAGCCUUUGAGAGCAUUGGGCUACACAUGCACAUGCCUGGCACAGCAAUUUUUGUUGUGCAUUUGGUAUAUGUUAAUGCUUUGAACCUAGUUAGAAGAAAUUAACUAAUGGAAAUAUGUUUUUUGUAUAUCACCAGGAUGUCAAGAAUUUAAUGUGAAGCAAAGACUAGAGACAGAAAAUAAAGUGUGAAUAGGAAGCAAACACCGGAAUCACUAGGGUAGAAAAAAAGGCCCUUCAGUUCACUGCUGAAAAAGUCCAGUGUAGAUUCGCCACUGAUACAAUA